rnacentral:rRNA from 1 species
CCUACGGGAGGCUGCAGUGGGGAAUAUUGCACAAUGGGGGAAACCCUGAUGCAGCGACGCCGCGUGAAGGAAGAAGUAUUUCGGUAUGUAAACUUCUAUCAGCAGGGAAGAACAUGACGGUACCUGACUAAGAAGCCCCGGCUAACUACGUGCCAGCAGCCGCGGUAAUACGUGGGGGGUAAGCGUUAUCCGGAUUUACUGGGUGUAAAGGGAGCGUAGGCGGCGAUGCAAGUCAGAAGUGAAAGGCCGGGGCUCAACUCCGGGACGGCUUUUGAAACUGUAUGGCUAGAUUGCAGGAGAGGCAAGUGGAAUUCCGAGUGUAGCGGUGAAAUGCGUAGAUAUUAGGGGGAACACCAGGGGCGAAGGCGGCUUGCUGGACUGUAAAUGACGCUGAGGCUCGAAAGCGUGGGGAGCAAACAGGAUUAGAUACCCCAGUAGU